GGGUCAGUAGGUUGGUCGUGCCACCGGUACGUACUGGUCUCACUGAUUCCUCCUUCCUGAAGAGCCGUAAUGCCAUUAAUUUGGUGUUGCGGGGAAACAGGACUGUUACUUUGAAAAAAUUAGAGUGUUUAAGGCAAGCUAACGCUUGAAUACAUUAGCAUGGAAUAAUGAAAUAGGACGAUCGAUCCUAUUUUAUUGGUUUCUAGGAUUGACGUA
rnacentral:rRNA from 1 species